CACAAUUUAGUACAGAAAGUUCCUCUUGAGAACGUGAUGAAAGAAAUGGUUCCUCUCUCCAGAAACGACCCAUUUAUAAUGAAUGCGAGAUUUUGUAUUGAGCUUGCUGUUCACAGAUCCCUGGAAGUCUACUCACUAUCUUCCUAAAACUCUUUACAUUCUGAAAUCAGAAUCCCCUUCUGAAAGGCAGACUUGAAAACACGUACAAGGGAUAGCCUUUUAGCAAGAACGAAAACUGAAGAUGUGAUAACUCAGCUUUAUACUAACUUUUAGGUUCCAUGCUGACCUGCAAAGCUGCCAUGAAAACUGUGAUUCAACAACAGAGAGGAUCUAUUGUUAAUGUAGGAACUAUUAUUGGUUUAAAAGGCAAUGCUGGUCAGUCUGUGUACAGUGCUAGUAAAGAAGGAAUCCGGAUUUUCACGUGCUCUUGCUAAAGAAUAGUAAGAAGGAAAAUGACAGUGAAUGUAGUUGCUCCAGGUCAGUGAAAACUUCUUUUUUCUUUUUAAACAUAAUUUAUGCAUGUUUAUGGUUUUAUAUAAUAAUUG